AAAAAUGUCAAAGUAGGAUGUGGGUUAGUUAGUUUAAACUAUCGAUUUGAUAUAUUUGCCCUAAAUAUGCGCACAUAUUAUUGUGUACGCUAGAAACUGAGGGUGUGUUUGUUUAUAACACCUGCAUAGCUUACAAGCAAAUCAUGUGUACACCUAGCAUUAUAAACCAGCAUGAACUGUUCAUUCGGUGUUUAAAACAAACAUCCCUUUAAUUAAACCCAGAAAAUGGCGCCAGUUUAACUGUAGUGACGGCUGUUAGAUAGUGAAACAUUUACAAACAUGCAAUGGUAAAGUAUCUUUCAGCUGCCACUGUUUGACAACGUGAAAACGAACGACUUCUUCCCAACGAAGAAACCCAUUGAAUUGACAUCAAGCUGAUUAACCGCAUGGAUCUGACAUUUACUGACCAUGGACAAAGUGGACUAUUUGUGGACCUGCAGACCAAUGUGGCUGGUUUUAAUCAUUCUGGCUUUGCAUUGCUGUGAGAGUCCUGCAACUCCUCUUGGAAAGAUGUAUCCACACAGUUGGCACUGGGCAGUUGGGCAUUUGAUGGGAAAAAAGAGCAUUAAAAGGCCGCCAAGGCUUGAAUCUACAAGCCAGGACUAUACCUCAUACCCUUCAAAGGAACACCUGGACACUCAGACCUUUACCAAGUUUUACACGAUUGCCAAAACUAACAAUUCCACAUAAUAAAAUGUCACAGC